rnacentral:rRNA from 1 species
AUUGAACGCUGGCGGCAUGCCUUACACAUACAAGUCGAACGGCAGCACGGGUGCUUGCACCUGGUGGCGAGUGGCGAACGGGUGAGUAAUACAUCGGAACAUGUCCUGUAGUGGGGGAUAGCCCGGCGAAAGCCGGAUUAAUACCGCAUACGAUCUACGGAUGAAAGCGGGGGACCUUCGGGCCUCGCGCUAUAGGGUUGGCCGAUGGCUGAUUAGCUAGUUGGUGGGGUAAAGGCCUACCAAGGCGACGAUCAGUAGCUGGUCUGAGAGGACGACCAGCCACACUGGGACUGAGACACGGCCCAGACUCCUACGGGAGGCAGCAGUGGGGAAUGUUGGACAAUGGGCGAAAGCCUGAUCCAGCAAUGCCGCGUGUGUGAAGAAGGCCUUCGGGUUGUAAAGCACUUUUGUCCGGAAAGAAAUCCUUGGCCCUAAUACGGUCGGGGGAUGACGGUACCGGAAGAAUAAGCACCGGCUAACUACGUG